rnacentral:rRNA from 1 species
UACGUAGGGGGCGAGCGUUGUCCGGAUUUACUGGGCGUAAAGAGCGCGCAGGCGGUCGUUCAAGUCGCGUGUGAAAGCCCCCGGCUCAACUGGGGAGGGUCACGCGAUACUGAUCGACUCGAAGGCAGGAGAGGGAAGUGGAAUUCCCGGUGUAGUGGUGAAAUGCGUAGAUAUCGGGAGGAACACCAGUGGCGAAGGCGGUUGCCUGGAGCUUUGCUGACGCUGAUGCGCGAAAGCGUGGGGAGCAAACAGG